CUCAGGGAUGAAACCGCUGGGGCGGGCGUUGCUUUAACACCAUGCCAAAGUUCGAAACGGGUGAAACACCGGAAGCUUUGCUUCUGGGGGGAUUCAAGUGGGCGAAACGGGGUGAAGUAACCACGGUGAAGCAACCUGCCCCCUGGACUUCUGGGGAUAAAGCGUCUGAGAAAACGGCGUGUUAAUACUGGGAUAUGUGCCUUGCACCCGCAUGGUUGUGCGUUUGGAAAAGAUUUUAUCGGUUGGGGAUGGCUCUCGCGCCUAUAUCAGCUUGUUGGUGAGGUAAUGGCUCACCAAGCGCGUCGACGGGUACCCGCCCUGAGAGGGUGACCGCCCCACACUGGGAGUGAGACACGGCCCCAGACUCCUACGGGAGGCAGCAGUGGGGAAUAUUGCACAAUGGGCGAAAGCCUGAUGCAGCAACGCCGCGUGAGGGAUGACGCCCUUCGGGUUGUAAACCUCUUUUAUCAGGGAAGAAGCGAAAGUGACGGUACCUGCAGAAAAAGCGCCGGCUAACUACGUGCCAGCAGCCGCGGUAAUACGUAGGGUGCAAGCGUUAUCCGGAAUUAUUGGGCGUAAAGAGCUCGUAGGCGGUUUGUCGCGUCUGCUGUGAAAUCCCGAGGCUCAACCUCGGGCCUGCAGUGGGUACGGGCAGACUAGAGUGCGGUAGGGGAGAUUGGAAUUCCUGGUGUAGCGGUGGAAUGCGCAGAUAUCAGGAGGAACACCGAUGGCGAAGGCAGAUCUCUGGGCCGUUACUGACGCUGAGGAGCGAAAGGGUGGGGAGCAAACAGGAUUAGAUACCCUGGUAGUCCACGCCGUAAACGUUGGGAACUAGAUGUGGGGUCCAUUCCACGGAUUCCGUGUCGCUAGCUAACGCAUUAAGCUGCCCCGCCUGGGGAGUACGGCCGCAAGGCUAAAACUCAAAGGAAUUGACGGGGACCCGCACAAGCGGCGGAGCAUGCGGAUUAAUUCGAUGCAACGCGAAGAACCUUACCAAGGCUUGACAUAUACGAGAACGGGGCAGAAAUGGUCGACUCUUUGGACACUCGUAAACAGGUGGUGCAUGGUUGUCGUCAGCUCGUGUCGUGAGAUGUUGGGUUAAGUCCCGCAACGAGCGCAACCCUCGUCCUAUGUUGCCAGCACGUUAUGGUGGGAACUCAUGGGAUACUGCCGGGGUCAACUCGGAGGAAGGUGGGGAUGACGUCAAAUCAUCAUGCCCCUUAUGUCUUGGGCUUCACGCAUGCUACAAUGGCCGGUACAAAGGGCUGCGAUACCGUGAGGUGGAGCGAAUCCCAAAAAGCCGGUCUCAGUUCGGAUUGAGGUCUGCAACUCGACCUCAUGAAGUCGGAGUCGCUAGUAAUCGCAGAUCAGCAACGCUGCGGUGAAUACGUUCCCGGGCCUUGUACACACCGCCCGUCAAGUCAUGAAAGUCGGUAACACCCGAAGCCGGUGGCCUAACCCUUGUGGAGGGAGCUGUCGAAGGUGGGAUCGGUGAUUAGGACUAAGUC
rnacentral:rRNA from 1 species